rnacentral:rRNA from 1 species
UACGUAGGUGGCAAGCGUUGUCCGGAAUUAUUGGGCGUAAAGCGCGCGCAGGCGGUCCUUUAAGUCUGAUGUGAAAGCCCACGGCUCAACCGUGGAGGGUCAUUGGAAACUGGGGGACUUGAGUACAGAAGAGAAGAGCGGAAUUCCACGUGUAGCGGUGAAAUGCGUAGAGAUGUGGAGGAACACCAGUGGCGAAGGCGACUCUUUGGUCUGUAACUGACGCUGAGGCGCGAAAGCGUGGGGAGCAAACAGG